GGGAGUGGGGGGUGGGGAUUGGGUUGUGAUCAGGGAGUCCAGGUUCUGACCCAUCAGUCUCAAGGAGUCUCUGGGACAUCCAUAACAUGUUAAGAGGGCCCUUGCCUGUUUGCAACUGGAGCUCAGGUCGACAGAGAAAUGGCUGUGGAGAAGACACACAAAAGCUACAAAGUGUCCAUGUCCUUUGGCCUAAGCAAUAAAAAGCACAUAUACUAAAAUUGGAAUGAUACAGAGAAGAAGAGCAUGGCUUCUGAACAAGGAUGACACGAAAAUUCGUGAAGGAGGAAGAAGGUAAGCACGGCUGGUCUGUGACUGGAAAACAGGCUGAAGGUGGUGAAGGCAGCUGAAUAAAGAGUUCAGAGUGUGCACCUUAUUAGCCUUGAUUUCCUCUUAACUUUGAAGUUCUCUCCAAGGCCUUGGGAGUUUUCUUUUAUUCAUACACAUGCAGCUCUGUACCUCCAGACGGCUCUCCAGCUACACACACAUACAUAUCUAUAAU